CUGUAGCAUCCAUUGACGAAAAAAGAGAUUGGUUCACUUCUCCUGUCCCAUGGAAAUCCAUUUCAAUUCCAAGCGGCAACUCACGGUUCCAAAUACGCAUCGGCGCUCUUCGCCAACGCUCCUCUCUCCUCAUCCAUGUUCCGCACCAACGCCGACUGUCCAACAGCGCUGACAUAGCCACUGAACAAAUCGGGGUUGUGAAAAAUGCUGCCCAUUACUGGCGCAAAAAACACAAGCGCCCCAGGUCUAUCCAGCACCGACAGUCAAUGGCGCCGACAUUCCUCCCAAUCAAAAUCUGUGCUGGUACAGGCGUGCUGCCGAGAAGGCGCAACCACCAA